GUAAUUUAAUUUCCUCAAGAGCAAAAAAAAAGCUUGCGUCUAUAAAACCCGGUUGGUCUAUAAGUUAACGAAAUCUCAAAUCUCCUCCUACACUCCUUCGCCGUCUCUCUGGAUCGUGAAGAGCGUUUUACACUUCGAGCUUAAUCCUUAAAUUCUGCGCCGUUCCUCUCUCAAUUUCACUUCUUCACUAGAGUUUUCCCUCACUGGGCUCGCCGCUGGUAGCUGCCGAAGUUAGUCGGUUCCUCUUCGCCACGCUAUUCAAUGGAGAAAGCUUCUUCUCCGGUGCCAAAGUAAAGAACUUUCGUUGGAAGUGAAUUGAUUUUUUUGUGUGUUUCUGAGAGGGAUGCGUGUUGCCUUGGUUUACAAUGGUUCUAUUGGGUGAAGUUGUAAGAGAGUUUGAACAUGAGCAAUGGAGUUGGGGAAGGUGGAAGAGCUCAGAGCAGAGAAAAGAGAAAGCUUUUUCAAGCCAAUGAUUUCGCCUACGCCAUUGCAAGAAUGGCUGUGGCUCAGAUUUGCGAGAGUGUCGAGGUUAAUGUCUAUCAGGAAUCACAGACAACACGCGAGGGCCUUAGGUUUAGCUCUUUUCAAGAAUCUGCUCUUGAUAAGCUAGCCAGUGUAGCGGUUGAGUAUGUCCAGAGCAUUGGGAAGACUGCUCAGCUGUAUGCUAACGUAGCAGGUAGAGUAGAGGGUAAUUCUCUGGAUGUUGUUCAGGCGUUAGAGGAUUUGGGAUCUGGUGUGGGUUUCGCUGGUGUUUCGGACACUGACCGUUGUCUUGCUGAUUCCAGUGUAGUCAAGGAUGUUAUUCGUUAUACAGGAGAAGCGGAGGAGGUGCCGUUUGUUUAUGCUCUCCCUCGUUUCCCAGUUAAUAAAGAGAAAAGACUUGCUCCUAGUUUCUUUGAGGUUGGAGUAGUCCCUCCAGAAGAACACAUCCCCGUUUGGCUUCCUGCAUUUCCCGGAACCAAAUCUUGUCAUCUAUCAGAGGAAGCUAAUGCGGGUGCAAUCGAAGGAGAAGUUGCGAGUAAAGAAAAUGGGCCAUCGUUACCGAGUAUACAACGUUCUUUCAAUGGUGGUGGGUUAGAAGUACUCAAAUCUCCAAAUGAUGUUGGAAAAUCAACAGAAGGAGAGGAAGAAGUGGAAGGUAAUCCAUUUCUUACCGCACCUCUUCGAUUCGCGGAGAAGGAAGUGUCACCUGUGUUUCGUCCUCUGGAGCUUAGCAUCAACCACGUCUCUGAUAAGCAUAUGAGCAACAACCACCGCAUCCCAGUUCUUGAAUCAUCUACUCCAUCAGAUGGUAUCAACAAGGAGAACGGGUUAGCUGAAUCCGAGGAUGGAGAGAAGAAAGAUGGUGCAAGACCACAACAGACUUUGUUACGUUUCAAGAUUGGAACUCUGAAGAGACCUUCGUGUUUGGCUAUAAAGAGGAGCGUCCAGGAACAGGGGUGGUUUCAAGAAGGUGGAGACAAGAGGGAGAAGAAGUUAGGAACCGAAAGGAUUGAUUUGGGAACUGUCGACUCAGAUGUAAAAUAGGAUUUGCUGUAAACCGUGGUUUGGUACAACCUUCUGCAGUGAACCGCUGAGCUAGAAUUUCAUUAACGGUAUCGAAGACAAGUUUUCUCCUGAUUUUCUCUGUCAGGAAGAAGAACAGUCCAGGGUUGAUAGGGAGACGUGCUUGGUUCAGCUGGAUGCUUAGCUUGCUGUAUUCAAGAUCUUUCAGAAGCCCUGAUGCCAACAGUAUCUCCGAGAUGUACUUGUGGUCGCCGCUUUUGAAGUUUGCAUCUUCAUUAGGGAAGCAUUCGAGGAGAUCAGAGUCUGUCUGCGUUGGACCCUUAUUCUCAGGCAAUAGUAUGGAUCUGCAGACGCCGGUAGGCUUAUUUAUCCACAUAGAUGCUUCAGAACGUAGUUCAUCGUCCUCUGGAAAGAGAACAAAUAAAAGAUGAGAACAUUCAAACCAAAACCUUGUGAAUCCAUGUAGUUAAUUGACACUGAAAAGAUUAUUAUUCUUUUGUAA